UUUGGACCAGGCGUUUCAAACUCAAAGCUGCUGAACCCUACUUGUCCCGCAAAUCUAUUCCCGUCAAACUCAAAAACCUAGACCAUGAAAUCCCUCGACGAAGCUGACGUUGGCAUCUUCUGCUUCAUGUCGCAACUCCCUGGUUUUCGUGGCAUUCUCAAGCAAAGGUAUUCUGAUUUUGUUGUCAAUGAAGUGGAUACUGAUGGAAAUGUUGUUCACUUGACUUGUUUGGAUGCCCCUCUAGAGGUUGUGGAAGAAAAUGAUGCUAAAAGGCCUGACUCAAAUUUAAUGACUCGAAGUUAUGCUUCUGAAGUUGAGGCGUUUAAGUCCCUUGUUGGUGAAUCUGAUUCAGAGCUUCUAAAGGACUUCAUUGAUAAAGUUACUUCAGGCAGCGGGGAUAGCAUCUCACCCAUAGUAUUGUCACCAAGUUCUGAUAAGUCCCAUCGAACUGUAAUCCAUAAUUUCUUCAAAGAGAAAUUGAGAUUCCUUGUCACAGACACUGUGGAUGGAACGAAUGCUUCGUCAAAAUGUGUCCGUGUGAGAUUUAAUUCAGGAGGGCUGAAUGACAGGGGCAGAAGUUCAAAGAAACGGAAAGACAGAGGUGAUAAGGCAUUUGAUAGCAGGGGUGCAAGCAGUUGGCCAGAGCAUCUUGGCAGAUUUCUUAGAUUUCAUCUAUGCAAAGAGAACAAGGAUACGCAAGAAGUCUUAGGGUUAAUUGGAAGAAUGCUUGGUGUCCAGCCAAGAUCAUUUGGGUUUGCGGGCACAAAAGAUAAGCGGUCUGUCUCAACUCAAAGGGUAACUGUUUUCAAGCAGCAUGCAAGUCGCUUGGCUGCUCUAAAUGACCGGUUGAUCGGUAUUAAAGUGGGCGACUUCAGCUAUGUGAAGGAAGGAAUUGUGCUUGGACAGCUUUUUGGAAACCGUUUCACUGUCACUUUGCGGGGAGUUAUUGCAGAAUUGGAUGAUACCAUUGAAGCAUCUGCAGAUGCCUUGGGGAGGUGUGGAUUCAUCAACUACUUUGGUUUACAGCGUUUUGGCUCAGGUUCCGUGCCAACUCACCUCAUUGGUGCUACAUUACUUCGAGGGGAGUGGGAAACAGCCGUAAACCUGAUUCUUGAUCCAAGAGAAGGGGAAAGGCAUGAGAUAAAUAAUGCACGAGAAUAUUACAAGGAAAGCCAUGAUAUUGAAGGAACCCUAAGGCGACUACCACGUCAUCUGGUGGCUGAAAGGGCCAUACUUCAAUGUUUGAAGAAAUGUCCAGGGAACUACUUGCAAGCCCUGACAGCCAUACCUAGGACUUUGAGAAUGAUGUAUGUUCAUAGUUAUCAAAGCUACUUGUGGAACCAUGCGGCAAGUGAGAGAAUUCAGAAAUAUGGAACUGACUAUGUUGUUCCAGGAGACUUGGUAUAUUGCGAAGGAGAUGAUAAUGAAAAAUUUAGUUCUGAAUGUGAAUACAACAACGGUGAUGACUCUUAUGAUCAGAGCCAGUUAGACGAAAUUUCUGGACCAGAUCUUCAUGAGAGAAGAAGUACCACAGUCAAGGCGUUGACUGCAGAAGAUAUUCACUCUGGAAACUACACUAUUUAUGAUAUUCUUCUUCCAAUGCCUGGUUCUAGGGUAAUUUUUCCAGGCAAUGAUGUUGCGCAAGUGUAUCAUGAUUUUGCAAAGAAGGAUGGGAUCAAUCUGUCUGAGAGCACACAUCGUGUCAAGGAGUUUUCGAUCACCAGUAUGAAUGGAAGUUAUAGACAAGUUUUUCAGAAGCCAUUGAAUUUUGAAUGGGAAUUACUCACUUAUACUGAUGUUAAUAUAUCGUUGACGGAGACAGAUCUGGACAAGAUCGCCAAGACUGAAUCUGUCAAUAUAGUCAAAGAAGACACAUCGGCCAAUGGAAGUAGGGGAAUGGAUUCACUAGAUUGCUUGAAACAAUCAGAGAGCUUUGAAAAUGAUAUAAAGCUUACAACAGAUACCAGCGAGGCAGAGAGUGAGAAUGCAGGGCUGUCACAAGUUGAAUCCCAAUGCGGUUCUAACUCUCAAGAGGUGCAAAAGGCUCUGAAGUUAAGCUUUACCCUUCCAGCUUCAUGUUAUGCAACCAUGGCCAUAAGGGAGUUACUGAAAACGUCAACUUCUGUUGCAUUCCACAAGACUUUAAACCAGUGAGGACCUCCAUGCUUAGAGAUUUGAACCUUUAGAGCUGUCCAAUUUGUCCUGAUGAAGAUUCACAAUAUAAUCAAGAAGGAAGGAUGAGGAAACAAGGCUGACAUGUAUAUGAAGAGUUGAAGACUCACGGUAUGAGAUUUUCUGGAUCUGCUGUCUAGAGGAGUAUUUGUGUGCCUUGAAGACAGUCUUUUAGAAGCAGAUUCCUCAGCCAUCUGGACUCUUUGAAAUCGAGCUCUGACUUGUAUUGACAUUAGUGCGUGCAUGCAACGAAUAGUCGUAGUUGUUUGCUUCCUCACCAGGUGACCUCUUACCAGUGCUUGUAACUUGACUAGACUCCUCAGAGCACAAAGUGCUUUCUUUGCCUGCAUAAAUAGUCUGAUCAUUUUCACUUGCCUACGAUAUGAUUUUGGAAGUAGAAUGUGAGUUUGGAUAAGUACCAAAUAAGUAUGGAAAGCGGCUUGAAUCUUGGUAGCAGCAGCAUUUUCAACUCUAACGGUUAUUCCAUCCGAUGCAUGUUUUGUUGGCAUAACAGAUACAGAAGUUGCCGCUACCACGGUCAUAUUAUUCUGUUGAUUCUCUGAGUCUGCAUCAGUUUGUAGUACUAUUGUUUUGGUGGUGCUCAA